UUGACAUGUGCGUCCGCAAAUACACAGUAUCCUAGAUUUCGUUUGUGUUUUGACAUGUACCCGUACUUGGUUUGGAACUAUUUCGUUUAAAUAAUAUUAUUUAUAUUAUUUAAGUAUCCUAGUUUCGUUUGUGUUUUCGAGAACGUGCAUAUUUUCGAAACAGAUGUGUGCAUUAGAUAAAUUUUUAAACCAAACCCACUACCUAUAAAUUUGCAAAUUAAACCCACGAAUUAUUGGGC
rnacentral:lncRNA from 1 species